rnacentral:rRNA from 1 species
CUGGCGGCACGCCUAACACAUGCAAGUCGAACGAAGUAGCAAUACUUAGUGGCAGACGGGUGAGGAACAUGUGGGUAUCUGCCCUUUGGCCUGGAAUAACACGAGGAAACUUGUGCUAAUACCGGAUAAGUCUUUACGGAGAAAGCUUUAUGCACCAUUGGAUGAGCCCGCACUUGAUUAGUUUGUUGGUGGGGUAAUGGCCUACCAAGACUUUGAUCAAUAGCUGAUUUGAGAGGAUGAUCAGCCACAUUGGGACUGAGACACGGCCCAAACUCCUACGGGAGGCAGCAGUGGGGAAUCUUGCACAAUGGAGGAAACUCUGAUGCAGCGAUGCCGCGUGAGUGAAGAAGGCCUUUGGGUUGUAAAGCUCUUUCGUCGGGGAAGAAAAUGACUGUACCCGAAUAAGAAGGUCCGGCUAACUUCGUGCCAGCAGCCGCGGUAAUACGAAGGGACCUAGCGUAGUUCGGAAUUACUGGGCUUAAAGAGUUCGUAGGUGGUUGAAAAAGUUGGUGGUGAAAUCCCAGAGCUUAACUCUGGAACUGCCAUCAAAACUUUUCAGCUAGAGUUUGAUAGAGGAAAGCAGAAUUUCUAGUGUAGAGGUGAAAUUCGUAGAUAUUAGAAAGAAUACCAAUUGCGAAGGCAGCUUUCUGGAUCAUUACUGACGCUGAGGAACGAAAGCAUGGGUAGCGAAGAGGAUUAGAUACCCUCGUAGUCCAUGCCGUAAACGAUGUGUGUUAGACGUUGGAAAUUUAUUUUCAGUGUCGCAGCGAAAGCGAUAAACACACCGCCUGGGGAGUACG